UACGUAGGGGGCAAGCGUUGUCCGGAUUUAUUGGGCGUAAAGAGCGUGUAGGCGGCCAGGUAGGUCUGGUGUGAAAACUCGAGGCUUAACCUCGAGAUGUCAUCGGAAACCAUCUGGCUAGAGUCCGGAAGAGGAGAGUGGAAUUCCUGGUGUAGCGGCGAAAUGCGCAGAUAUCAGGAAGAACACCUAUGGCGAAGGCAGCUCUCUGGGACGGUACUGACGCUGAGACGCGAAAGCGUGGGGAGCGAACAGG
rnacentral:rRNA from 1 species